GCGGGAUCUCUGUGUAGAUGUAUGAGGGGUGAAGAUAAAUUUAUGUGUUGGAACUUUGCGAAUUGUGAUACUAAUCUAAGCAUUUUUUCGUUUGAAAGUGUCUGUUGAAGCUUAAGUUGAAAGGAAUUCGUUUUAAUUGACACAUUGUCGUUUCGAUACACCUAUCUUGGUCUAUUUAAUACUUUAAGCUUUCUUCAUAUUGAUUACAAUAAGAACAACUAUCUACAUGUUCAACAGCUGUUACCAAACAACCGCGUCUUUAUUUAAUCAGUUGCAGGAAUAACUUUAUAAAUAAGCCUGUUGUCUUGCUUAACAAGUGUUGUAAGGAUUUGUGAGUGUGUGGGUGUGUGUUUUUGUGAAUAUAGUUUAAGUGAUGUUUCUGUCUUAUUUAGUUGGGCUAUUUACAUGGACUGUAGGUGUUUGUGUGAGAUGAUAGUUUAUUGGUUUGAGUGGAAUUAAGUUUUUAUUAUAAGCCAGUUGUUUCACUGCGUCUUGCAAUUUCUCCUCGUUGAGAUAAUAAAGUAAAUUAAAUUAAAAAAGUAUUCGUGAUUUCGUAACUAUAGAAUACAUUCUAUAGCUAAACAAUUUAUUAUAUAAUUUAUUUUUUAAUGAAAAUCCUCUUAUGGGGCCCCACAAUAGUGCAUUUUUAGCAGGUGGGUCAUUCUCCGUGAGGAAAGUGCAGUGCACAAGAUAAUUAGCUGUACUAUAUAUAUCUGCAACUGUCAGCCGACACAUUCCAGUGUCUACAUGUCACCUUUCUUCUGGCGACGUAUUGGAGGUCUGAUAAGAUGAAACAAUUCAUCCUUUGUUGAAAACCAUGUCCUGAAAAUCUCAGAAAUUCAUUUGUAAGGACACAAUAAAGUUCUACGUACCACAAUGAAAUUAAAGCGUUUAUUCUGUGUGUGGUUUGGACUGUGGCAGUGAUGGUGUUUCAAGAAACAAAAUUAAGCAAGCUAAAAGAGGAACACCAGACUGACUGGGAUGAAUUUCUGGAGUUUCUGCUUUUUCGCUGAGAACCCUGCGCCAGGCAUCCACCAAAUUCUCGCCAUAUUUCAUGAUGUUUGGUCGUGAACCAAGAAUGCCAUACCAGAUGAACGCUAACACUGAAGAUGAUAUACCAGAGGUAAUGGAUAUACCUGAGAUGGAUCGAGAAAACUAUGUACAGGAGAGGGACAAGCGCCUCUUAGAUACCUAUAAAGUUGCCAGCGAAAACCAGGAUAGAGCACACAAUAAACAACAAGAAUAGUUUGCCAAGCCUGCAUCAAAAGGUGUAAAGACAUUCAUAAUGCAGCCAGGUGAUCUUGUUCUGAAGAAAAAUGCACGGAAAGUAGAAAGGUGGUGCUUCAGACCCUGACUGCACUGGACCAUACAGGUACAGAGAUUUUGUAGCUUUUUUUUAAAACUUGUGAUGCUACUGGCUCUUUCUUCGCACACAAAAUUAGCAUCCCAUACAAAGCAUUAUGUUUACUCUGUUCAUUUAUUCUCUUUCAGGAUAGUGGACAUAGAUGACAACCAACAUGUAGCAUUGGCUUCACAAGGAAAGGAUAGACGUCAGCUGACAUCGAUGGUGGCCUAUGAACAUAUAAAACCGUUUAGGGAAAAUAUUAAUGUCCCGAACAAUAAUGUGCAGCAUUCUGUUGAUUAUUCUAAUGAUGGUGUAGUUCUUGUUUCAGGUGAAGGCAGCCUCAAAAUCCAGCAAGAGCCACAAGGAGCAGCUGGCAAUGCUGACAAGCAAAAGGCAGUUGUGUCAGCUUUGAGUUUGCUUGCCGAGGCAGCAAGUGUAAUAGGGAAUAAAGAGAAAAUUUGUGAUGAUUUUUCAAAUGAUGACAAUGAUUUUGUUUUAGGUUUUCCAACGAAGUGUAAGGCUGCAUAUUUAGAUAAUGAUGAUAUGUACUUUGCACAUGAAUUUGGACCCAAGUGAAGACAUGCCAAGCCUUUGCCAGUUAUCCCUGCUGAGAGACAGAACCACAGCCUUCGGGAAAUGCAGGCAUCUUGAGUGCAAAGACAGAGCUGUGUGAUCUUCACAUCGAUCACUUCUCUGCCAUGCUGAGGGACCAGUUUCCACAUGUUGGUGGUUUGCAGAGACUGGGUGUCUUUGACUCACUGGAAUGCCAACGUGUUGGGACACCUAUGGUAAGAUUUGUCCAGGUUUUGCAUGCUGGUAGGCACUGGGUCACAGUUUCACCUUCACUGUUCUGUUAUAAAUAGUUACAAUGGUAGUAAUGAUUACUCUAGUAAAAAUAUGUAUUGUUGGAUACUACAUAGGUUGCAUUAUUUCCAGCGAGAGCUGUUUUUCUCGCAUGCAUGCGAGGAGAGUGGGCGAGGUUGCCAGAGGAAGAAAAAAGAAAAUUUAAAAGGGAUGCAGUGUCCUGCAGAGGGUAACUUCCUCAAAGUGAAAGUGAAAAAACUGCAUACCUGAGGAGGGUGUGCUCUGAAUGAAAUCAUGCAACACUCAUGUAUGUAACACUUAAUACAAGUUCAUUGUACAGUACAUCAGGAACUGUGGGUAAUCCUGUGUUGGAAAAAUAGUAUAAAACUUCUUUUACCACACUUACAGACUGACUUCAUGAAGCAGCUGGGCUGGUCAUUUUCAUAUAAAAUAACGAUGGAGACCAACAUCCUGGAGUCUCCCGAAGGCGAAGCUGCUGCCUUGAACCCAACCCCCAUACCCCCAACAACUAUACAAACCCCACCAAAUUGUGGGAAGGAGGAGGAAAGGGCUCAACUGCAGCGGGAGGUUCAAAGUCUCUUUAAUGAAUUGUAUGGUGAGUUUGUAGUAUUACUGGUGAUGAACUAGUUUACGUCACUGGGUUGUAUGUAAGUUUGGAGAUUUACCAGUUUUUACACUGUCUUCUUGUUUUCAGGCUAAGCCACAGGAAGGUGGGGAAAUUUUCCUUACAAAAAGCAUAAAGUAAUGCCAGAGCUGGCUGUGACAGGUCUGCCGGUGUUUCUUUCAAGGAACCCUUCAGUUAUGGCUUACCUGCACUGAAAGCCAUUCUUGCACAAAAGAAUGAAAUAAAAAUGCAAACAAUUCAGGCAAGGUAAUUCACUAUUUGUUUUUGUUGUUAUUGUUGCUGGCAUAUUUAAUUUCCAAGAUCAUGAAAUUAACAUAGAAAUUGUACAUUUUGUAUGUUAUGAAUUUCAUAUAACUAAUUCUGUGCACUUUGUUGUUGGAAAGCUUAUCAGAAGAUGUGGCACCAGGAGAGGACACAACUCCUGCAAUCAGGUAAUGGGAAAUGGAAAUGUUCUCUUCUGGUUUGAACAUAAAUACAAACUUAAUAUAUCCAACAUAUGUUACAGUGCUAGAAAAAAAUUUAAAAUAACUUAAAUAUUCUUAAUGUAUGAAGGUAUUUGUUGUGAAAUUUGGUAAAAAGAUCUGCAUUCUUAUUUUAUCCUCAGUGCAGUCUCUGUGGCAGCAGUGGACAGACUCCUGUGCUUCAGUGUCCCUACAGAGGAAUGGCAAAUGUCUCUGUUGUUGCAUAUGUAUUUUAGAUAUCACAAAACCUUUCUAUAUUGUGACUAAGAAUGCACUCAAGAUUUUAGCAAAAUGUUAAGUGAUGAAAAUGGCAUUUAGAUCAUGUGAAGUACAUUAUAGGAUUAAGAACAACUAAUCUGCCUGUAACAUCAAACAGCACAACUCUAGAAGAUGUCUAGGAAGCGGUAAAACUGUUUGUAGGGGUGAAGGACAGCAACUGGUUGUCAUGCUGGCAGCAUCCAGAGGUCAAUGUCCAAAUAAAAACUGAACUGAAUGGUUGACAUUUAAAUAGUCUUUCAUAUCUUAAGUUUAACUGGAGGGAUUGUCAGAUUCGGCUCCUGAUCAGCUUUGUCGAAGAAAAGAAAGCACUAUUUGCGACACUUUCCAACACACGAAGAGCCAAGAAAAAAUUCAAUUAUGGAAAGAUAUGGCAGUUAUAAAUAAAUGCUCGUAGAGAUCAGAGAAUGAAAUGGGGGCAAAUAAACAAAAAGGUCCAAUUUAAGAGCAAGGGCCAUUACCUAUGCUAGCACGAUGAAAAGUAUUAUGCAGACUAAAUUUCUAUCAGUUUGCAUAAUGGGUUUGCAUGAGCAUCCUUCUUUUUACUGUCAUUUUGCUGUCUGGAGACUCAAAUGUGGGAUGAUACCAUUCAGAGAUCAAAUCGGCUGUGACCAAUCGAUAAAUGGUCAAAUGACAGAUGGUGAGCCUAUUGGCUCCAUACAGAGCAUCAGUGUCAAAAGAACCAAAUAAUCGGUCAACCAGGGAUUCCACAAUGUCCUAUAAACACAGAACACCACAGUGUCAACCCAGGACAACACAGACAGCGGUUCACCUGGUCUAACCUUGAUGUCAACAAAUCACGUGCAGUCCGCAGGCUGCGAUGCUCACCACAACCAGAGCUCGUGUUUACCUUUAACUGUGUUCAAGCUAUGAAAAAACUUGUCAGCAGGUCAAACCUCGCAGAGCUGCAGGGCAGCGAUGUGAAACAAACUGCGCUUUCCAUCAAAGGCACGAUCAUUAGUCACUACAAUGUUGUUACAGGGCAAAGGAUAACCACUGCGUUACUCUGCGUAGCCCUCGGAGUCUGAGUGAGCAAUACCCAGAAUAAAUUAUAAUAGUUUUAAUUUCUCAUCUAAAGUUUCUUCACAGCAAAUUCUCUCAACUUCCUUAAUGUUUACGUUGUCAAACUUCAAGAAAACAUAAGUCAUUUCAAAUCUGUAUUCCAUUGUAUUAUUUAUAUAUGUUAUUCUACUGCAUGGAUAAUGGAUAGAUAUCUGUGAAUGGGAGAUAAAGCGUAUGGUUAGUGUGCACAUAAAUGGAAUUUUAUGGAUUUUACAACUAUAAACGAUUUUGUAGACAUUUUCUAGGGGGAGGGGGGGGGAGGGCAUUGGUGUUUUACGCCGUGACAGCAACUAAGGCUAUAUUACGGCAAGCAGCCAGCCCUGUAAACAGAUGCCACGUGCAGAGAAAGAACAGCGUGCCCGAGACGAGAAAUGAACUCUGGGCAGCCAACCUUCACUGUAUUGGUGACAGGCGCUAACCGUUGCGCCACCGGGCCGCUAGACAUUUUCUAGGAGAAAUAUAUCCAGUGAAUGUGGUGACAGAACACCAGAUCAUCUCGAAUACGCAGGAUAGUGAUGUACUGGUCAGUGAGAUUGGAGAAAAUUCCCCCCACCAGGCGCGGCACUUGAGUGUCCACACUUUCAGGCACCUGCAGCCUCGAGUUCAUCACGAAUGGACAGGUGGCUUGUCCACCAAAUCAAACUAUUCGGAAUAGCAUUCACAUGUGAUACUGGAAAAUGCUACACUUUGUUGGACUUUAGAGGGACAGGAGAUAUCUGGAGAGAAAAACCGCUAUUGCAGAAGGUGAAUGGGUACUGUGUCACAGGCGUGAACUGAUGCCCAGUUGCGUCGUUCAAAAGAUACCCAAACCCAGAUUCAGUGCCAUAUGUCGGUCACCAGUGGGAAUAAAAAAAAACCAAAAACAAAAAAA